CGUUAUCGAAAAUAAAUACAAAGAUUAACUUUGGGUCACCUUACCGAGCCGACAACCUUAACCGCACCCUCCGAUCCCUCCUGGUGGUCGGUAACGUUAGGUUGUUUUAAUUUUUGAUCGCGAUUAAGCUUUCUUACUUUUUUAAGUUUUCCAUGUAGCAAUACGGAACCCUUCAUGCACUAGCCUAACUACAAGGCCAGAUU